CCUACGGGAGGCAGCAGUGGGGAAUUUUGGACAAUGGGCGAAAGCCUGAUCCAGCCAUGCCGCGUGAGUGAAGAAGGCCUUCGGGUUGUAAAGCUCUUUCGGUAGGGAAGAAAUUGCACGGGUUAAUACCCUGUGUAGAUGACGGUACCUGGAGAAGAAGCACCGGCUAACUACGUGCCAGCAGCCGCGGUAAU
rnacentral:rRNA from 1 species